GACGAACGCUGGCGGCGUGCUUAACACAUGCGAGUCGAACGGAAAGGCCCUGCUUUUGUGGGGUGCUCGAGUGGCGAACGGGUGAGUAACACGUGAGUAACCUGCCCUUGACUUUGGGAUAACUUCAGGAAACUGGGGCUAAUACCGGAUAGGAGCUCCUGCUGCAUGGUGGGGGUUGGACAGUUUCGGCGGUUGGGGAUGGACUCGCGGCUUAUCAGCUUGUUGGUGGGGUAGUGGCUUACCAAGGCUUUGACGGGUAGCCGGCCUGAGAGGGUGACCGGCCACAUUGGGACUGAGAUACGGCCCAGACUCCUACGGGAGGCAGCAGUGGGGAAUAUUGCACAAUGGGCGGAAGCCUGAUGCAGCAACGCCGCGUGCGGGAUGACGGCCUUCGGGUUGUAAACCGCUUUCGCCUGUGACGAAGCGUGAGUGACGGUAAUGGGUAAAGAAGCACCGGCUAACUACGUG
rnacentral:rRNA from 1 species